rnacentral:rRNA from 1 species
CGUCCUAUUAGCUAGUUGGUGAGGUAAUGGCUCACCAAGGCUACGAUGGGUAGGGGUUCUUAGUGGAAGGUCCCCACACUGGCACUGAGAUACGGGCCAGACUCCUACGGGAGGCAGCAGUAGGGAAUAUUGGUCAAUGGGCGCAAGCCUGAACCAGCUAUGCCGCGUGCAGGAUGAAGGCUCUCUGAGUUGUAAACUGCUUUUGUACAGGAGCAAAAAAAUCCCUGCGGGGGUUCUUGAGAGUACUGUAAGAAUAAGCACCGGCUAAUUCCGUGCCAGCAGCCGCGGUAAUACGGGAGGUGCAAGCGUUAUCCGGUUUUAUUGGGUUUAAAGGGUGCGUAGGCGGCUUAUUAAGUCAGUUGUGAAAUCCUAGUGCUUAACGCUAGAACUGCGAUUGAUACUAUU